rnacentral:rRNA from 1 species
GUAGGUGGCAGGCGUUGUCCGGAAUUAUUGGGCGUAAAGCGCGCGCAGGCGGUUCUUUAAGUCUGAUGUGAAAGCCCACGGCUCAACCGUGGAGGGUCAUUGGAAACUGGAGAACUUGAGUACAGAAGAGGAAAGCGGAAUUCCACGUGUAGCGGUGAAAUGCGUAGAGAUGUGGAGGAACACCAGUGGCGAAGGCGGCUUUCUGGUCUGUAACUGACGCUGAGGCGCGAAAGCGUGGGGAGCAAACAGGAUUAGAUACCCUGGUAGUCCACGCCGUAAACGAUGAGUGCUAGGUGUUAGGGGGUUUCCGCCCCCCUUAGUGCUGCAGCUAACGCAUUAAGCACUCCGCCUGGGAGUACGGCCGCAAGGCUG